rnacentral:rRNA from 1 species
UACGUAGGGUGCAAGCGUUAAUCGGAAUUACUGGGCGUAAAGCGUGCGCAGGCGGUGAUGUAAGACAGAUGUGAAAUCCCCGGGCUCAACCUGGGAACUGCAUUUGUGACUGCAUCGCUGGAGUGCGGCAGAGGGGGAUGGAAUUCCGCGUGUAGCAGUGAAAUGCGUAGAUAUGUGGAGGAAUACCGAUGGCGAAGGCAGCCCCCUGGGUUAACACUGACGCUCAUGCACGAAAGCGUGGGGAGCAAACAGG